rnacentral:rRNA from 1 species
AUUGCCUAGUACGGCGAGUGAAGCGGCAACAGCUCAAAUUUGAAAGCUGGCUCCGGCCCGCAUUGUAAUUUGCAGAGGAUGCUUUUGGCGAGGUGCCUUCCGAGUUCCCUGGAACGGGACGCCAUAGAGGGUGAGAGCCCCGUAUGGAUGGACACCAAACCUGUGUAAAGCUCCUUCAACGAGUCGAGUAGUUUGGGAAUGCUGCUCUAAAUGGGAGGUAAAUCUCUUCUAAAGCUAAAUACCGGCCAGAGACCGAUAGCGCACAAGUAGAGUGAUCGAAAGAUGAAAAGCACCUUGAAAAGGGGGUUAAACAGUACGUGAAAUUGUUGAAAGGGAAGCAUUUAUGACCAGACUUGCGCCGGGCAGCUCAUCAGGGGUUCUCCCCUGUGCACUCUGCCCGGCUCAGGCCAGCAUCGGUUCUCGUGGGAGGAUAAGAACAGUGGGAACGUGGCCCCCCUCCGGGGGGGUGUUAUAGCCCAUUGUACGAUACUCUCGUGGGGACCGAGGUUCGCGCUCCGCAAGGAUGCUGGCGUAAUGGUCAUCAAUGACCCGUCUUAA